ACGACGUCGUUUUAGA
rnacentral:sRNA from 1 species